rnacentral:rRNA from 1 species
UACGUAGGGGGCUAGCGUUGUCCGGAAUCAUUGGGCGUAAAGAGCGCGUAGGCGGCUGGAAUAGUCCGGUGUGAAAUCCACAGGCUUAACCUGUGAAUGCCGCUGGAAACUGUCUGGCUAGAGUCCGGAAGGGGCGAGUGGAAUUCCUGGUGUAGCGGUGAAAUGCGCAGAUAUCAGGAGGAACACCAAUGGCGAAGGCAGCUCGCUGGGCCGAUACUGACGCUGAGGAGCGAAAGCGUGGGGAGCGAACAGG